ensembl:lncRNA
CACCCCACUUGCUUCCAUCUCCGCCGUCUCCCCCGUCUCCCCUCCCAUCCACCCCCACCACUCCUCCGCCAGCCGCGUCCUCCCGGGCUCGGUGAGGAACUGUUCCUGGAGGAGCCGCGGGAUGCCGAAACCAGCCAAUGGGAAGCAGCGAGACGCGGAGAUUGGCACGGUGGAUGGGAAGUGAGUUCCUGGCUUGUCUGUCGGUGCAGCGCCAGAAGCAAGCUGCAGAACAGGAGUUACUGGGGACGGCAGUGACCAUGAAUCCCAAAGGAGAGAUCCGGAAGGACCCUUUCAGAUCACCAUGAGGUUAGGAUGAGAAUGGGGAAGAGGCUGUUUAAGCAGGGUGAAGGCUGGGAGAGAAUGAGUCAAUGACCUGGAACAGGAAGCUGAAUCAACUCUUUCAGCAAGACUUAAAAGAAAAGAUUUUGGUUUUAUAAUCUCUAAAGCCUAAAAGAUACUGAAGCUUCCAGAAUGAGUCAGUACCUAAGACAGUGUUAUUAGAUACAGUAAUUACUGGAAUGAUAAAAUCCUUGUUGAUGCUAGCUGAAAAUAGGUAUGUUCUAUGCCUACUACAUAGCGGCAUUUUCAAUACUGUACCAGAAUGAAGUUAACUAUAAAAAUAUGCACAUUCUGAUUACGUAUAGACAACUUCAAGCUGUCUUUUUUUUAUUGUUGAUGAAGGUUACUGAGGUUUGUACAAAAAUCUUUAUAGGUUCAGUCUGUUAUUUGAUAUGUGAAAUAAAAUGAUAAGACCAUUGAUGGUGAGUUUUCAAACUUCUUCCUAUAACAAGUGAAUAUAGGGCAGCCUGAAUAAUAGGUAUAUUUUGAAUUAUGUACGACCAGUGGUCUGGUAAAUAUUUAACAACCAGCUCAUCCAG